GAAUGAAGAAGGGAUCAGAAGCAACAGUAUCAACAUCUCUAUCACUGCUGGUUCUGUGAUCCUGGAGAGUCCUGCUGUUCCUGUGAUGGAGGGAGAAGACGUGACCCUGAGCUGCAGAAAUAAGUUAACUCCCUCAGACUUCAUGGCUGAUUUCUAUAAAUAUGGAGUCCACAUCAGGAACAACUCAACAGGAAGCAUGACCAUCCACAAAGUUUCAAAAUCUGAUGAAGGACUUUAUAAAUGCAGCAUUGUAGGAGCUGGAGAAUCACCAGAGAGCUGGCUCAGUGUCACAGAGACCAAGACAGACCCCUCAUCACAGCCUGGCUGUCAUAUUUACCUCGUCUUACGGACUGUGUUCACCAUCAUAAUGGUGGCUCUGCUGUUGCUGCUUGUGGGACUUCUUCACUCUGGGAAAAUCAGAGCCACAACACCUAAUUUAAACUCAAGCUCAUGAAAUUGCAACUGCUUUUGAUACAUGAAACAGAGCAGGCAAUGGUUAUUAUGAGUAACACAAAUAGACAAUAGAA